rnacentral:ncRNA from 1 species
AUCAAUUUAACUCUGGUUGGAUUACUUAGAAUAGUUGAAGAAUUUUUACUAGUAAUGCUACAUAGGAUACUUUUAUUUUUUAUGUGUUUUAUAUAAAGUAAUUUUUUGCUGGUUUUGUAGUGGCGUGAACUGAUAUAGUAGGGGGACCUAGCUUUGGUUACUAGUAGUUUGGGAGGGGUUAAGUCGCAGUGCCAGCAGCCGCGGUUAUACUGCUUUCUUCAUUCUUCUUGGUUGGUUUAAAUAUGUUAUAAAGGUAUUUUUAAAGUGUGUUGGUUGAAUAGACUUUGAGGGUAUAUGUGCUUUAUAUUUUGUUAUUGUUGAGCUUUAAUUUAAGAUAGGGAUUAGAUACCCCUUUAUUAGGAGUUAAACUUUUUGUCCACAGUGUUAACUGAAAGAGUUUGGCAGUGAAUUAAAUUCUUCCGGGGGAAUGUGUCGAUUAAAAAGAUGGUCCGCUGAUUAUUUUACUAUGCUUAUAAGUUAGUGUAUAUCCGUCUGUAGAUUCACGCAGAGAUGUUUGGUAGUGAGUAAAUUAUUAUUAAUUUAAGGCAGGUCUAUAUGCUGCUAAUAGCAUAGGUUUGGUGCGUUACAUUUAUAAGUUUUAGCUUUGUAAGAGGUUAUAAAUAUUUAGGACUCGGAAGUAGGGGGUUAUUAGUUUGAUUUCUCGAAGGUUGAAAUAAUUUGGGUACACAUCGCCCGACAAUCUCGGUAUGGAGCUGAGUUAAGUCGUAACAUGGUAACACUUAAAGAAUUAGGUGUUAAU